rnacentral:rRNA from 1 species
UUUACACAUGCUAGUCGAACGGCAGCGCGAGAGAGCUUGCUCUCUUGGCGGCGAGUGGCGGACGGGUGAGUAAUAUAUCGGAACGUGCCCAGUAGCGGGGGAUAACUACUCGAAAGAGUGGCUAAUACCGCAUACGCCCUACGGGGGAAAGGGGGGGAUCGCAAGACCUCUCACUAUUGGAGCGGCCGAUAUCGGAUUAGCUAGUUGGUGGGGUAAAGGCUCACCAAGGCAACGAUCCGUAGCUGGUUUGAGAGGACGACCAGCCACACUGGGACUGAGACACGGCCCAGACUCCUACGGGAGGCAGCAGUGGGGAAUUUUGGACAAUGGGGGAAACCCUGAUCCAGCCAUCCCGCGUGUAUGAUGAAGGCCUUCGGGUUGUAAAGUACUUUUGGCAGANAAGA